GACGAACGCUGGCGGCGUGCUUAACACAUGCAAGUCGAACGAGACGAUUGAAAGCUUGCUUUCGAAAGUCGAGUGGCAAACGGGUGAGUAACGCGUAGACAACCUGCCUUUGAGAUGGGGACAACAGUUCGAAAGGACUGCUAAUACCGAAUGUGGUAUAUUCUCCACAUGGAAGAUAUAUUAAAGAUGGCCUCUAUUUAUAAGCUAUCGCUCAAAGAUGGGUCUGCGUCUGAUUAGCUGGUUGGUGGUGUAACGGCCUACCAAGGAGACGAUCAGUAGGCGGUAUGAGAGGAUGAACGGCCACAUUUGGACUGAGACACGGCGCAGACUCAUACGUGGGGCAGCAGUGGGGGAUAUUCCACAAUGUACGAAAGUCUGAUGGAGCAACGCCGCGUGAGUGAAGAAGGGUUUCGGCUCGUAAAGCUCUGUUGUCGGGGACGAAUGUGCAGUAUUUGAAUAAAGUACUGCAAUAACGGUAACUGACGAGGAAGCCACGGCUAACUACGUGCCCGCCGCCGCUGUAA
rnacentral:rRNA from 1 species